rnacentral:rRNA from 1 species
UACAGAGGGGGCAAGCGUUAUUCGGAAUUAUUGGGCGUAAAGGGCGCGUAGGCGGCAUGGCAAGUGGAUGGUGAAAUCCCUCGGCUUAACCGAGGAACUGCCGUCCAAACUGCUUCGCUUGAGACCGGGAGAGGUGAGUGGAAUUCCCAGUGUAGCGGUGAAAUGCGUAGAUAUUGGGGGGAACACCAGUGGCGAAGGCGGCUCACUGGACCGGUACUGACGCUGAUGCGCGAAAGCGUGGGGAGCAAACAGG